GAUGAACGCUGGCGGCGUGCCUAACACAUGCAAGUCGAACGGAAAGACCCUGAUAUUGUGCGGUGCUCGAGUGGCGAACGGGUGAGGAACACGUGAGUAACCUGCCCUUGUCUUUGGGGUAACUUCAGGAAACUGGGGUUAAUAUCCGAUAGGAUCUCCUGAUGCAUGGUGGGGGUUGGAAAGUGUCGGCUGUUGGGGUUGGACUGGCGGCUUAUGAGCUGGUUGGUGGGGUAGUGGCUGACCAAGGCUUGGACGGGUAGCCGGCCUGGGAGGGUGACCGGCGACCUUGGGACUGAGGGACGGCCCAGACGGGUACGGUAGGCAACAGGGGGGAAUAUUGCACCAUGGACGCAAGGCUGAUGAAGCAGCCCCGCGUGCGGGAAAGCCGCUUUCUGGGUAAAAACCGGUUUCGGCUUAGACGAAGCCUGUGUUAAGGUAACGGAUAAAGAAGCCACGGCUAACUACGUG
rnacentral:rRNA from 1 species